AAGUCGUAACAAGGUUUCCGUAGGUGAACCUGCGGAAGGAUCAUUAAUGAAUGAAAUUGAGUGGGGUUGUAGCUGGCCUUUCACCGGGCAUGUGCACACCUCAUUCGACCACCUUCUACACCCCUGUGCACUUCUCAUGAGCUGGGCCGCGUCUGAAACACGACAAAGUCCGGCUCGUGUGUUUUAUACAAACGAAUCAUGUUACAGAAUGUCACUACCAUGCUUUGAAGCAUAUAAUACAACUUUCAACAACGGAUCUCUUGGCUCUC
rnacentral:misc_RNA from 1 species